CUUGUGUCCUUGUGUCUCCACAGAGCGUGAUGUGUUCUUCAGAGCGUUGUUUGAACGUCAUGAGUCGGAGGAUGAAAGUGACUCAGGAAACAUCGCCCUGGCCGUGUGUCUGUCGGUGGCCAUCUUGGCUCUGUUGGCCGUCCUGACCUACUGCUUCCUGAAGUCCAGGAAGGAGCGCUCCCAUAGGCCGGUGGCCACAGGCCCCGCCCACGUGGCGCUGUCGGAGCAGGACACGCUGGUUUACAACAGCACCACCAAACCUGUGUGAGGACCACCGGACUGGACUCUUAUCGAUGACGUCAUCGUGAUCCAUCAGCUAUUCGGUUCUACUUUGUGUGUGUGUGUGUGUGUGUGUGUGUGUGUGUGUGUGUGUCUGUGUGUGUGUUGGGUUCUCUUUGAUCUAUUUAUGAAUAUUAUGUGUUUGGGUCUCAGGUUCAGAAUGUAAAUAUCUUUAUUAUGUUUUUAAACCUUUCACAUGUUAUGAAUACAUAAAUACAUAUAAUAAAGAGUAAUUGAACA